rnacentral:lncRNA from 1 species
UCUCCAGAAAAGAAAGAUCUGGAAGGUCAUUUUCUUCAAAAUAAUAAUGGGGGGCUGCAGAAGGGUAGGGACAAACCUCUUCCUCUUUUGCCGCUUUAGCUUUAGCUGGCAAAUACACCUGCUCUGUAACCUCUUCUGUCACUUCCUCCUCAUCAUAACUGUGAAUAAGUUCCAAGGUGGAACGAACCAGACCCCACACCUGUCCCACUGUUACCCUGAGGCUUCCGAGCUCCUCUUGUUACUCACCACAGGGAUUGCUUUAAGAGUACUUGGGUGUCCUCCAGCUAGUUUUCCAUUCCAACUGUCACUCCGGUGACCCUUCAACCUGGAUUCGAGCCCCCACAAAGUUACGCCCCUUGCCGAGACCAGCUCAGUCAGGGAGACCCUAACCCAGUGGUGCUACAGGAAUGAAAGACACACACACAGAAAUAUAGAGGUGUGAAGUAGGAAAUCAGGGGUCUCACAGCCUUCAGAGCUGAGAGCCCUGAACAGAGAUUUACCCACGCAUUUAUUAACAGCAAACCAGUCAUUAGCAUUCUUUCUAUAGAUAUUAAAUUAACUAAAAGUAUUCCUUAUGGGAAACGAAGGGAUGGGCCAAAUUAAGGGAAUAGGUUGGGCUACUUAACUGCAGCAGGAGCAUGUCCUUAAGGCACAGAUCUCUCAUGCUAUUGUUUGUGGCUUAAGAAUGGCUUUAAGUGGUUUUCCACCCUGGGCUGGCCAGGUGUUCCUUGCCCUCAUUCCCGUAAACCCACAACCUUCCAGCAUGGGCGUUAGGACCAUUAUGAACAUGUUACAGUGCUGCAGAGAUUUUGUUUUUGGGGGGCUUGCUCCCAACAAGUUGGCCUUCCCACCUCUAUACAGUCUGAUAACGGACCAGCCUUUAUUAGGCAAAUCACCCAAGCAGUUUCUCAGGCUCUUGGUAUUCAGAGGAACCUUCAUACUCUUUACUGUCCUCAAUCUUCAGAAAAGGCAGAAUGGACUAAUGGUCUUUUAAAAACACACCUUACCAAGCUCAGCCACCAACUUAAAAAGGACUGGACAAUACUUUUACCACUUGCCCGCCUCAGAAUUAGGGCCUGUCCUUGAAAUGCUAUGGGGUACAGCCCAUUUGAACUCCUGUGUGAAUGCUCCUUUUUAUUAGGCCCCAGUAUCAUUCCAGACACCAGAGCAACUUGGAAUGUGCCCUAAAAAACUUGUCAUCCCUAUCUUCUGUCUAGUCAUACUCCUAUUCACCCUUCUCAACUACUCAUAAAUGCCCUGCUCUUCUUUACACUGCCAGUUUACACUGUUUCUCCAAGCCAUCACAGCUGUCCUUAGGCACUCUCUAAUUGUUCCUUGGUUUCUGGUCUGGUUCCUAGGCGCCAGGCUACCUGCCUUUAGUUUCGCUUCUCUUUCCUUUUCUGAGUAUAAAACAAUAUGAGAGGGUCUCUCUCUUCCCUCAAGAGGAUCAGGAAAAAUAACUAAUGGGUACUAAACUUAAUAUCUGGGUGACUAAAUAAUGUGUACAACCCCCAUGACACAAGUUUUCCUAUAUAAUAAACCUGCACAUGCACCCCUGAACUUAAGAUAAAAGUUAAGUUUAAGGCUGGGCAUGGUGGCUCAUGCCCGUAAUCCCAGCACUUUGGGAGGCCAAGGUGGGUUGAUCACCUGAGGUCAGGAGUUCAAGACCAGCCUGUCCAACAUGGCAAAACCUCAUCUCUGCUAAAAACAAAAAAAUUAACCGGCCAUGGUGGAACGCACCUGUGGUCCCAGCUACUUGGGAGGCUGAGGCUGGGGGAUGGCUUGAGCCUGAAGGAGGUUGCAGUGAGCUAAGAUCAUGCCACUGCGCUCCAGCCUAAGUGGCAGAGCGAGACCUUCUCUCAAAAUAAAAUCAAAUAUAUGAAAACAGAAUAACUCAAAGUACGAAAAUCCAUUUUGUUUAUAUAGGUCCGCAAAAUAAUAAAACCUACACAGACUCACAAGAAACUAGAUGUUAACAAAAAAAGUUGUCAUUUUCCCCAGAUUUUCUUUUCUUUCUUUUUUUUUUUUUUAGACAGGGCCUCGUUCUGUCGCCCAGGCUGCAGUGCAGUAAUGCAAUCUUGGCUCACUGCAACCUCUGCCUUCUGGGUUCAAGUGGUUCUCCUGCCUCAGCCACAGAGUAGCUGGGAUUACCGGUGCCCCCCACCAUGCCCGGCUAACUUUUGUAUUUUUAGUAAAGAUGGGGUUUCACCAUGUUGGCCAGGCUUGUUGUGAACUCCUGACCUCAGGUGAUCCACCCACCUCGGCCUCCCAAAGUGAUAGGAUUACAGACAUGAGCCACCACACCCAGCAGAUUUUCAAAAUAUAUACAUAUAUGUGUGUAAAUAUGCAUGUAUAUGUAUGUGCAUGUGUAUAUGUGUGUGUGUAUAUAUAUAUAUAUAUAAAGAUUUUAAAAAUAUAAAAAGUAGCAAGAUUUGUUUAACUGAAGAGGAAUCUCAUCUUGCUAGAAAAUGACACUUUGGCAGUUGGGGUAGGGGGGAAUCUUGUCAGAUCUAAGAAAACAGGAAAUGCCCCAUGCUAGAAGAAGCAAUCACCCUUUCAACUGCCUGACCUGGAGGAAGCUUCAGAUAUCUGUAGGAAUGCAGGCAUGUGCAGAGGCAGCCACUAUGGCACUCCUUAUACAAGGAAAAAUCACAAAGGACCCACAUGUUGUCAUUCAGCCAAUUUCCAAAGCAGAUGUCAAAGAGCAAGCUAGCCAUGUUUACUAACUUCACAACAUGUAAAUUUUUGCAACUAGCAGGAUCAAAUAUCAAAGUAAAAUAUUUACUAAAACACAAAGAAGAAAACAAGAGACGCUGGGGUCUACUUGAGGGUAGAGAGUGGGAGGAAGGAGAGAAGACGAGAAAAAAUAGCUAUUAGGGGCUGGGCACAGUGGCUUACACCUGUAAUCCCAGCACUUUGAGAGGCUGAGAGGCUUCGAUCAUCUGACAUAAGGAGUUAAACAUCAGCCUGGCCAACAUGGUGAAACCCUGCCUCUACUAAAAAUACAAAAAUUAGCCAGGUGUGGUGGUGGCAUGUGUUUGUAAUGCCAGCUACUCGGGAGGCUGAGGCAGGAGA